CAUUCUUUGUACUAAAUCUUGGUAUUUGCUCUAUACAUGAGUGGGUUGUGAAGUUUUCCAAAAUAAUAUCAUUCUUAAAUUUACUCUAUUCAUGUUAUCACAUGUCAGUAUGUGCCUAUUGUUUUCUCUUUUUGGUGGCCUUUAUGAAGAAUGUAAAUUCUGUUAAUGGCAUAUUUGAAAUUACUAAGGCAGGCGGUGAAUUCUUUCAUUAGUUAAGAGAAUGAAUAGACCUACAGUUGAGUGGCAGUAUGCUGGAAACAUAAUCUAUUACAUUGAUAGCGGAAAACUUAUUGCAGAAGUUAAAAGUGGAGGUAUGUCACAUACUGUUUUCUGGUCACAGAGAGGCGAUUCUACUCUUUUGAACCUUGAACCACUACAUUUUCCUCAUGAAUGUGGCUCAAGGUUACUCCACAUGCUUUCUUUUUCGAGGCAGGGAGCAUGGCGUGGUCAUUAUGAAGGCUUUUUUUGUUGAUUUUGGAAACUCUCUCAUGCAUUUCCUCAAAUCUCUGCGCAAGAAACACUUGGGUUAUGGUCACGGCUUGAAGCCAUAUGAAGUGUGACGAUGGCAUAUGAAUUGGUAUACAUGUUGCAACAUUGAGUUUUCUUGUAAUAGGUUGUGAUAUUUUUUCACUUAGAUCUAAGUAUUUUACACUUUUUCUACGAAGGUUGUUCUUUGUUUUAUCCAGCUAGAAUUGUCAUUACAAGAUUGACUUAUGUAAACAAGUACAAUAAUUGUUCAACAAAAGUUAAGUUAACCAAGAAGACAUGUGACGUGUGUAAUUUGCUUCUAGCAGCUCCUAAUUAUAAUGCCUCCUUUGUUACAUUAUAUAGUUCAUUGAGAUAUGUAAGCUUUACUAAUUUUUGUUA